GGAUUUCGCGUCUGUUCAUCUCCUCCCUGAACCGAUGCGAAUCAGAGUCUGCGGUUUCCUCCUCCCACCGCAGACUUCACAAACGACACCCGCCGGCUCCUCCCCCGGCGGGUGUUGUUG
rnacentral:sRNA from 1 species